UACGUAGGGUGCAAGCGUUGUCCGGAAUUAUUGGGCGUAAAGAGCUCGUAGGCGGCUCGUCACGUCGGCUGUGAAACCCGGGGCUCAACCCCGGGCCUGCAGUCGAUACGGGCGAGCUAGAGUUCGGCAGGGGAGACUGGAAUUCCUGGUGUAGCGGUGAAAUGCGCAGAUAUCAGGAGGAACACCGGUGGCGAAGGCGGGUCUCUGGGCCGAUACUGACGCUGAGGAGCGAAAGCGUGGGGAGCGAACAGG
rnacentral:rRNA from 1 species